GCUAAGAAUAUUCGGCAAUGGGAGAAAUCCUGACCGAGCGACGCCGCGUGAACGAUGAAGGCAGAAAUGUUGUAAAGUUCUUUUAUACGGGAAGAAUAAAGGUAGAAAUGGAAUAUUUAUCUGAUGACGGUACCGUAUGAAUAAGCCACGGCUAACUACGUGCCAGCAGCCGCGGUAAUACGUAGGUGGCAAGCGUUGUUCGGAUUCAUUGGGCGUAAAGGGCAUGUAGGUGGUCAUAUAAGUGUGAAUUGAAAGACCAAAGCUUAACUUUGUGUUUGGUUUGCAAACUGUAUGGCUAGAGUGCAGAAGGGGAGACUGGAAUUCCGCGUGUAGGGGUGAAAUCUGUAGAUAUGCGGAAGAAUACCGGUGGCGAAGGCGAAUCUCUGGUCUGUAACUGACACUGAAAUGCGAAAGUGUGGGGAGCAAACAGGAUUAGAUACCCGGGUAGUCC
rnacentral:rRNA from 1 species